GAUCAUAAGUUGUUGCAAUAUUUAAAAAUUUGACGGUACACAUGCUUUUAAAUAAGAUCUCAUCUCUGAGUUAGAGUAAACUGUCAAGACUUAAAACUUACUUACUUUACCUCCACCAUGGGACUUGUAGCUGUCACUUCUGUCUUGAGUGGUUAAAAGAUAGAACAGUCUAGCCAAGUGCCAUGUCUCUUAUUCUUGAUCAGCUAUAGCUCUGGGGGUUUUGCGGAUUUUCAAAUAAAACUCAGAAUUCCUUGUAUGAUUCUCUCAGGUCUCUCUUUUGUGGUAUUUCUGGAUCCUUACCAAGGCAUUGAUGGUAUAUGCCUUCUCUCAAGAUAUGUGGUAUUUGUGGUAUAAGGCAUAGUGACAUGUAUUGCAUAGUCAAACCAUGGAUCCAAAGUAACAAGUCAAUAAGUUUAAUCAAGAUGUGCAUGUGUGGCGAACGAAUGGUAUAUGGUGAUGAUGGUGAUAACAAUGGUGAAAACAAUGGUGGUGGAAGUCUAAUUCUACUUUUGCUCUUUGAGGGGAUACAUACCUUCCUUGCUUUUGAAAUUUUAUAAGGAGAAUGAGAUGCUCUUCUUUUUCUUUUCUCUCAGGUGGGUAUCUUGCACCCCUAAUUCUACUGUCGGACACUUGUCCAUUUUUACCUCUCGUCUCACUCUUUUUCUUUUCUUUCGAGGUUCCGAGCACUUGCUCCUUUUUAUUUCCUCGUAUUAUUUCUCUUCUUUUUUUUUAGAGCACUCAUCUCUUGAGAUAAUAUAGCAAGUGGUAGUAACAAGAUAACUUGAGCAUUUAUUUCAUAAGGGAAAACAGAAAUAUUUUUGGUUAUUCUCUCCCGGAUUAGGAGUAGAAUAUUUUCAGGUGGUUCUGGAGAUGGAAUGGGUGGAUAUAUGUGGAUGGUACUUCCGGAAUAGAAGUAGCAUAUAUAAAUGAACGUGCAAGUGAAAUCUUGAUUUAACCACAUGACAAGCUCCUAAGGGUCUACACAGCUUGACCAUACUCAAUACUCAUAAGCAGUAAAUAGUAAAUGUGUGGCUCAAAGUCUAGCAAGCAUGUAUAUAUGGCUGUGGUAGGAAUUUAAGCUCUCAUCAUACAAGAACUCAUCAUGCAACAUUUUAAAGAUUUUUAAAGAUAAAAUUCUCCAGAAUUCUAGCAUCUCUAGGAACAGAUAAACAGCAGCUCAGCCUUCUCAUAUCAUAUCCGUUAACAACUUAGACUUCAGAUCAAGUUUUCAUCCCACAAGUUUAGGUCUAGGGCAAGCUUUAAAUUAUAACAGUUAUAUCUAAACUUGAGAGAGAACUUAAAAUUUGCAAGUUAAGCAGAGCAACUAUUUAUCAUAUCCAUGCUUAAAUUUAUUUAGAUACAGAUUAGCAUAGCCACUUUAUUUAUUUAUUAAACACACUAAGCAAAAGACAUAUAUAUAUAAGCAUAAAAUCUUUAUUUGGUUUUCCCAUAGUUUAUGUGUAUUUUAAUAUUCUAAAAUAAUAUAAGUAUAAAGAUAGAUAGAAAGAAAUACUUAUCGAGAUAAAUGGGGGUGCUCUCCCCCAAGCUGAAUUUUGACGUAAUUUCUCUUGAUGUAGCUAGCAGGUGGCAGAGGUGUAUUUGAAAGUCAGCAGUAUUCUGACAGCGAUUAGAAUGUCCUCCGUGUGCUAGUCUUCUUGAUUCUUAAAUCCUGUGGAGCUCAAAUAGACAACAAAGCUUGUGGAACUGAUUAAGUGUUAGCAUAAAUAUCUAGCCUUUAUCAUCUUGAGACUCCUUAAUAAUUAUUACUCCCUGUUUUUUAUAUUUUUAUUUUUAUAAAGCAGAAAAAAUAAUUAUUUUAUUUUUAUGCCACCACAGUGAAUGUACUUAUGGGUUUUAUGCCACUCGUCUACUCAUAUGGGGCUUACUGUUUUUCACAUUUUUAUUUUCUUUUUAAGAUAGUGUGAAUAUAAUUAACUAAGUAAACUAUUUAAAAUAACUGAAAGGGAAAGGAUAACUACCAAGUUUACCUCUUGGCAAGGCGUUCGGUGUUUUUAAGUCCUCCGAACGGGACUCUCAAAUUUCUUAAUCGUCCUGAGGUUCGUUGGGUGGCGUAGUCGGUACUUCCGGCAGCGCCUCCUCUUCUUGUAUAGUUAUCUUCAUUUUCCAUACCUGACUCGGUGCUUCAAUCUCCUCUGGAUAAUUCUGUUUAAACUCUACGUCUUCUGACCUUACAACUUCUCCUUCAUAGUCUGCCCAUCCGUCCUUGAUGAUCUGCCUUCUCUGGUUGCGGUUGCGUCUCUUUCUGACCUGCUUAGAUUCUUCAACGAUAUAGUUAGGGUCAGUAAAGUAACGGCGUACCUUCUCUGAGGGGAAGUGCAUAUGGACUUCUCCGGUUCCCAUGUAGAUAAUCGCUUUAACGGUGCUGAGGAACGGUCUUCCAAGGAUAAUGGGUGGAUCAUACUCGUCUUCUCUCAUGUCAACAACUCUGUGUAGACAAAGUGAUCGUCUAUUUUGACUGUGACAUCAGAUACUAUUCCUUUAACUUCUCAAAAUGUCUGAUCUGCCAUCUGGAGCUGAAUGUAUGUCGGUCUUAGUGGCAUGGUCCCGAACAAGAGCCGAUAGGUGACUGCGGCCAUUAUGUUGACGCCCGAUCCGGUGUCGCAAAUCGUCUUGUAGAAGUUGUAUCCAUUUAUGGAGCAGUAAAUGCUUGGCAUUCCUGGGUCGUCCUUCUUGGUCAAAAACGGUGACUUCAGUUGGUGAUCUUGGCCUCCAUGGACUACAGUGACCAUCUUAGCUGACUCGAUCCACACUUGCUUGUUCCUGUUCCUCCUGUUGGUCCUCUUCCUUGAUUCACGUCUGGAUUGAUCUUGAAUUUGUGUAGUCUUGUUCUUGAAGAAAAAUGUCUCCUUCUUCCCUUUGACGUAGAAACUGAUCUUGGCAGCACUGGCGUAGAUGAUAGCUCCCGUGGUGUUCAAGAAUGGCCUCCCUAGGAUGAUAGGUGCUCUCUCAUCAUUUCCGGUCUCUACCACUACGAAGUCUGCUGGGGCAUAUAAGGUACCAACUCGGACACAAAGGUUCCUCACUAUUCCUUUUGGAAAAGUUAUCGUCUGAUCUGCAAACUGCAAACACAUGGUUGUCUCUAAUAAAGGAUAUGUAAAGAAUUUCUCAUAGAGUACCCUGGGUAUAAUGUUGAUGCUAGAGCCAAAGUCGCAGAGUGCUUCUGGGAAGUCCACCAUGCCGAUGGAGAUCGGGAUGACGGGGCGUCCUGGAUCGCCUCUCUUGACCGGCAGACGGUCAGUAGAAAAUUUAGUGACGGGGUUACUCCAAUUACCUGCAUCAAACAUGUCUACAAGAUUUGCAGAUUCUAAUCCUUCCGGUUGUGAUGGUAUACCGGGGUUAGUAGUUGGAACAGCAGCAGCUAUUUGAUUUAACUGAGAUUCAAUCAUUUUAUUAAAGCUAAUUUGAUUCUUGAUGGCAGUAGAGAAAUUAUCCAUUCUAUUAUUUAUAUUUUCUAGCAUUUUAUCAUUAGAUGCCAAUUUCUUAGAUAGGUUAUCCAUUAGCUUUCCUUGAUUAGACACUAACUCUCUCAAAGGUGGUAAAUUAUUAUUAUUGUUGUUGUAAGAAUUGUUACCUUGAUAAUUACCUGAGUAGUUAGGCUUCUGUUGAUUCCAACCUUGAUUUUGUUGAGGACGGUUGUAGUAGUUGUUGUUGUUGUUGUUGAUGUAGUUCACAUCCUCAAGCAUCUCAGGGCAGUGGUUGCCUGAGUGUCCAGUGUCUCCACACUCCUCACAAGUCAUGUGAGAGUCGUAGAUGUGCAUAACUUCUUUCUUGUCUCCAGCUCUAUCAUCGAGCUUCUUCAUGAGCAGGUCUAGCUUUGCAGCAGCAUGUCUAUCUCCUUUAGCUGAUGCAUACCUCCACCUCUCUUGCGUGUCUGGGUCCUCUCUUCAUUCCAGCUUUGAUUGGACGCCAUCUUCUCCACAAGAGCUGUGGCUUGUGAUAUAGUAAGUGAUAAGAAUGCUCCUCCAGCUGCAGCAUCCAUAGUCUCUCGGGCACUGUUGCUGAGCCCAUGAUAGAAUGUCUGCAUCAAUAGCCAACUCUCCAUUCCAUGAUGGGGACAUUCUAGGAUGUAGUCUUGAAAGCGCUCCCAUGCUUCUGGAACAGAUUCAUCAUUUUGUUGCUGAAAACUUGUAAUCUUCCCACGGAGAGCAUUGGUCUUGCCCAUGGGAAAGAACUUUGCCAGGAAGUUUGUUGAGCAGAGUGCCCACGUAGUAUUCUUCUCCUUUGUAGCGUAGAACCACUGCUUCGCUCUUCCUAACAGUGAGAAUGGGAAGAGGCGAAGUAGUAUAGCGUCUUUGGAAACUCCUGCUAUGGUGAAUGUGUUGCAAAUCUCCAGGAAGUGUUGUAAAUGAGCACUAGCAUCUUCGUGUGCCUUCCCACAGAACUGGUUGGAUUGCACCAUGUUGAUAAGUCCAGGCUUGAGCUCAAAGUUGCCAUCGAUCUGUGCAGCAGGUCCAGUGCGGAUGUUGUCCGUAGUGGGAGCUGAGAACUCGCGGAUUGAUUUGUUCGCCAUGGCUUCGAACUCUGAAGACAAGUUCCGGUGAUCUUCUUGAUUGGAUGAAGCUUCUUCGUGAAGUGUUGAUGAUUUCUUUAGCUUGGCUCUCGUCUUCUUGAAUAAUGCAUCGGGAUUGUCAACAAAAUUUCCUGGAAGAUGUCUUCUAUUCAUACAUUCCCCUGCAUAAGAUAAAAUAGAAAAAUAUCGGGGUAAAACUGUAUGAGAGAAUAGAUAAGCUCAAUCAUAUUAGUGAUGCGAAUGAUAACUCAAAAUCUUUUAUUCCAUUCCUGAUUGGUAAUCAACCUUCCCCGGCAACGGCGCCAAAAAUGCUUGUUGGGUAUUCUUAACAUCAUUACUAAAAGUAGACUAAGUUCUCUAAAUCUAGCAACGGUGCCAAAAAUGCCAAACCUAUCCCUCACACCACUUAAGCCAAGUUGUCAUCCCCAGCAUGAUAUAAGAGACGCGGUAUUGAAAUAUGCAAUUGCUCUUCUAAAUAAAUAAUGAAUGGGAUCUGCAAGCGCACAGAUUAAUACCGAUGCAGCAUUUUAACCGGGAAGUAUUCCAGGUAUCGUUAUUUAUAUUUUUACCACUGGGAAGGGAUUAAUCAAUCAUCAAUAUUGAUUACAGAAUAGAAUAUGAGAUUGAGCAUCUAUCAUUGCAUGUAUAAUUGAGAACAUUAUAUCUAACUCAUCAUACAGGGAUAAGUGUCACAUAAAAGAUAUAUGAAAUAAUAAUAGUGACAAGGAUAACUAAUCUGAUCUAGCCACAUAAUAAAUAUGAUAAGCACCUCAAUUAGAUACUCUAGAAAGUCAUUAGCAUGGUAUUAGAACGAACUACAAGAAUAUUCCCUAAGUUAUUCUCAACUAUAUAGUCUAGCAUUAUCAUAGUUAGUGCAAGCAUACUUAGCAAUCAUUGCGAGACAAGACUACGCCCAUGCAUAGUGAUAUUAGCAAGGAAUAUGAGAAACAUAGCAAUCACUCCCCUGUAAUAAUGUUGCUCUGCCAGCCCAAUACACGAGAGGGGGACUAUAUAAGAAUCAAUGAAGCUGUCACUAUCACGAACUACCCCACGAUCUGGCAUAUUGGGUACAAUCGCAGAUAAAUACGGUAUAAGCACCACGCCUACACAAUAUCUAUCAUUUACCCAUUGAUCCGAUGGAUAAACGCUAUACGAUCCUAAGCAUGUAUAUAGAUCGUAUCUAACUAAGCCAAGUACAUAACUAUGAUAAACUAAGAACAAUAUAAUCUUGAAUAUAAGCAAGUAGAGCAAAGUCAUAAGCAAUAUAUUGAAGUAGAACAAAGUCAUAUUCAUAAUAUUGAAGAACAAAGAUAAUUAGAAAGCAAUUAGAAGCACAAUUAGAAGAUUACCAAGAAUCCUCCUGACAGAUCCGGAAACCAAUCGAAGAUUGACUCCUUCUAGUUCUUAUCCUAUGUAGCUAUGCUAAUCUAGAUAUCUAAUUGAUGUGGUGGCUCUAAUCUUGAUCAGAGGCUUCUUCUCCCUUGAUGGAACAAUGAAUUAGGGUUGAGAGGCUCUCUCCUCCAGGGGCCAGGGGGUCUGGUUUUAUAGUCCCUUCAAGUGAAUAUGGGCCCUUGGAUCAAACCGACAUAGAUUGUAUGGUUUAGAUUCAUCCUUUAGGUCGGUGGAGACUUCCCGCAAAGCAGAGUCCUGAUUGGACUCCUGAGGUGGGCGGGCGCCCAGUUGGACAGGGCGGGCGCCCUGUCUCUAGCCCCGAUUCGCCUCCGCUUCGGUCUCGUGGCUUCUGGAGUCUUCUAGAUGUAAGAUAAUUGCGCAGCACGUUAAUAUCUUUACGUAAUCCUGACAUGUGGGCCUUUCUUCCAUAUUUCCUGAUAACCCCCUGCAGAAAUAGACAAACACCAAAACUCGUGGAAUUCUGUCAGAUAAAACCCUAAGUCUAGAUCUUGAUUUCAUUUGGAUCCUUUUCUUUAUUUAUUUGAUAAUUAAAUUUGAUACUUAAGGACCGUCAACAAACUCCCCCAAGCUUACCUCUUGCUCGUCCCUGAGCAAGGAUAGACUCAGCUAUGGAUCAUAAGUUGUUGCAAUAUUUAAAAAUUUGACGGUACACAUGCUUUGAAAUAAGAUCUCAUCUCUGAGUUAGAGUAAACUGUCAAGACUUAAAACUUACUUACUUUACCUCCACCAUGGGACUUGUAGCUGUCACUUCUGUCUUGAGUGGUUAAAAGAUAGAACAGUCUAGCCAAGUGCCAUGUCUCUUAUUCUUGAUCAGCUAUAGCUCUGGGUUUUUGCAGAUUUUCAAAUAAAACUCAGAAUUCCUUGUAUGAUUCUCUCAGGUCUCUCUUUUGUGGUAUUUCUGGAUCCUUACCAAGGCAUUGAUGGUAUAUGCCUUCUCUCAAGAUAUGUGGUAUUUGUGGUAUAAGGCAUAGUGACAUUGCCUUCUCUCUCACCCUACUCUAAUAAGGCUUUAAUAUCUGGAGCUCAUAGGUGGGAGAUAAAGUAUACAUACUUACAAGACAUGUAUUGCAUAGUCAAACCAUGGAUCCAAAGUAACAAGUCAAUAAGUUUAAUCAAGAUGUGCAUGUGUGGCGAAGGAAUGGUAUAUGGUGAUGAUGGUGAUAACAAUGGUGAAAACAAUGGUGGUGGAAGUCUAAUUCUACUUUUGCUCUUUGAGGGGAUACAUACCUUCCUUGCUUUUGAAAUUUUAUAAGGAGAAUGAGAUGCUCUUCUUUUUUUUCUCUCAGGUGGGUAUCUUGCACUCCUAAUUCUACUGUCGGACACUUGUCCAUUUUUACCUCUCGUCUCACUCUUUUUCUUUUCUUUCGAGGUUCCGAGCACUUGCUCCUUUUUAUUUCCUCGUAUUAUUUCUCUUCUUUUUUUUAGAGCACUCAUCUCUUGAGAUAAUAUAGCAAGUGGUAGUAACAAGAUAACUUGAGCAUUUAUUUCAUAAGGGAAAACAGAAAUAUUUUUGGUUAUUCUCUCCCGGAUUAGGAGUAGAAUAUUUUCAGGUGGUUCUGGAGAUGGAAUGGGUGGAUAUAUGUGGAUGGUACUUCCGGAAUAGAAGUAGCAUAUAUAAAUGAACGUGCAAGUGAAAUCUUGAUUUAACCACAUGACAAGCUCCUAAGGGUCUACACAGCUUGACCAUACUCAAUGCUCAUAAGCAGUAAAUAGUAAAUGUGUGGCUCAAAGUCUAGCAAGCAUGUAUAUAUGGCUGUGGUAGGAAUUUAAGCUCUCAUCAUACAGGAACUCAUCAUGCAACAUUUUAAAGAUUUUCAAAGAUAAAAUUCUCCAGAAUUCUAGCAUCUCUAGGAACAGAUAAACAGCAGCU
rnacentral:lncRNA from 1 species